UACGUAGGAUCCGAGCGUUAUCCGGAUUUAUUGGGUUUAAAGGGUGCGUAGGCGGUCUGUUAAGUCAGGGGUGAAAGACGGUAGCUCAACUAUCGCAGUGCCCUUGAUACUGUUGGGCUUGAAUGGACUAGAGGUAGGCGGAAUGUGACAAGUAGCGGUGAAAUGCAUAGAUAUGUCACAGAACACCGAUUGCGAAGGCAGCUUACUAUGGUCCUAUUGACGCUGAGGCACGAAAGCGUGGGGAUCAAACAGG
rnacentral:rRNA from 1 species